rnacentral:rRNA from 1 species
AGAGUUUGAUCCUGGCUCAGGAUGAACGCUAGCUAUAGGCUUAACACAUGCAAGUCGAGGGGCAUCAUGGAGAUUGCUUGCAAUCUUUGAUGGCGACCGGCGCACGGGUGAGUAACGCGUAUCCAACCUGCCUGCAAGUAGGGAAUAGCCCGGAGAAAUCCGGAUUAAUGCCCUAUGUGGCCCUUAGAUGACAUCUGAAGAGGGUUAAAGAUUUAUCGCUUGCGGAUGGGGAUGCGUCCGAUUAGGCAGACGGCGGGGUAAUGGCCCACCGUGCCAUCGAUCGGUAGGGGUUCUGAGAGGAAGGUCCCCCACACUGGUACUGAGACACGGACCAGACUCCUACGGGAGGCAGCAGUGAGGAAUAUUGGUCAAUGGUCGUAAGACUGAACCAGCCAAGUAGCGUGCAGGAUGACGGCCCUACGGGUUGUAAACUGCUUUUAUAGGGGGAUAAUAUGCGGGACGUGUCCUGUAUUGCAGGUACCCUAUGAAUAAGGACCGGCUAAUUCCGUGCCAGCAGCCGCGGUAAUACGGAAGGUCCGGGCGUUAUCCGGAUUUAUUGGGUUUAAAGGGAGCGCAGACGGCUUGGUAAGCGUGCAGUGAAAUCCGGCGGCUCACCCGUCGGAGUGCUGCGUGAACUGCCUGGCUUGAGUGAGCCGGAAGAGGGUGGAAUUUGUGGUGUAGCGGUGAAAUGCUUAGAUAUCACGAAGAACUCCGAUUGCGUAGGCAGCCCUCUGUAGCUUUACUGACGUUCAUGCUCGAAGGUGCGGGUAUCGAACAGGAUUAGAUACCCUGGGUAGUCCGCACUGUAAACGAUGGAUGCUCGCUGUUUGCCUAUGUAGGCGCGCGCCCCCAGCGAAAGCGUUAAGCAUCCCACCUGGGGAGUACGCCGGCAACGGUGAAACUCAAAGGAAUUGACGGGGGCCCGCACAAGCGGAGGAACAUGUGGUUUAAUUCGAUGAUACGCGAGGAACCUUACCCGGGCUUGAAUUGCAGGUGCAUGCGUCAGAGAUGGCGCAGUCUUUCGGGACAUCUGUGAAGGUGCUGCAUGGUUGUCGUCAGCUCGUGCCGUGAGGUGUCGGCUUAAGUGCCAUAACGAGCGCAACCCUUUUCCUUAGUAGACAUCAGGUUAUGCUGGGCACUCUGGGGAUACUGCCACCGCAAGGUGUGAGGAAGGUGGGGAUGACGUCAAAUCAUCACGGCCCUUACGUCCGGGGCUACACACGUGUUACAAUGGCGCGUACAGAGCGUCGGCCGCCCGCGAGGUCGGUCCAAUCGCCAAAACGCGUCUCAGUUCGGACCGGGGUCUGCAACCCGACCCCGCGAAGCUGGAUUCGCUAGUAAUCGCGCAUCAGCCAUGGCGCGGUGAAUACGUUCCCGGGCCUUGUACACACCGCCCGUCAAGCCAUGAAAGCCGGGGGCGCCUGAAGUCCGUGACACGCGAGGAUCGGCCUAGGGCGAAACUGGUGAUUGGGGCUAUUAUCGUAACAAGGUAACCGUA